UUCUGAAAUGAAUCGCUUUGAUCUUAGUGAUAAGCCUCUCCCUAGUGCUAGCCGAACCUGGUACAGCAUCGCGGCAGGAAAGAUCAGCGAGCCAGCCGGCCGGAGGUUAUGAUGCAUUCCGUCCUAGUUCGGGCGCCCUGAUCAGCAGACCUUCCCACCACCAAGCCCCGCCCAUCAGGUACGGCCAGAACUACUACAACCGACGCCGAAACUACUACCGCCCACAGUACCAGCAGAGGCCCCAGUACAACCCUUAUUGGUACAGGGGGUAGAUCCCUACAUUUGGAAGAAUUUAGACCUCUCUCGUUUGUUUUGUUCGUAAACGCGAGUAGAUUAUUGUUUCCUUAGACAUCAUUGUUUGAUGUUUUUUCCCAUUGUGACACCUUUUAGUCUGUACUAAUAAAACUGAAGACAUUA